GGGGAACAAACGCUACCUAUGAGCCAGGGGGAUCCGUUUGUGGAUUAGACCGACCGCACAUCCUAAUUUCAUGAAACUCUGUCUGGGCAGGUGUCUCGUGUGCGGUCAGACAAAUUAAGACUUCCAUGGAACUCCCGGAUCCCUGAACUGAUCUGGGUGAUUUUUGAAAAUGUUGGUUCCCCAGAUCAGAGCUAUCAGGGGAUAUAACUUGUGGGGUUUCCAUGGAGUUUGGG